GAUAUCUGUAGUAUAUAUAUUCAGUUCUUCAAACGUUUAAAGAUUUAACGAUGAGUGUACAGACACACGAUUAUCUCUACAAAAUACGUGAAUAUACUGUGGUUUUAAUGAAAUUCAUCAUUUAUUUUGAGAUGGGCUCACUGGACAGUUUUUGGUUUGACUGCCGAAAUGUUUUAAUGAGUGUGCUAUAUUACUUGUAUUACGGGUGCAUACAACAUAGGCUGCGUGCAUAUCGCCCCACGUGCAAGCGAGGUCAAUAGCUCUGCACGCGCGCUCGCUCCCGCCCCCGCCUCACAUUAAACCUUUGUCUACGUACAAUGUUAUGAUGUCAACGUCACUGAAGCUAAUAAUUUGAUUUCAUGAAAUACAAAUUAAUUAAAAAAUUAUUAACAAUCCCUCAUAGCUUGAAAGUGAUGUUCUGGGAUGCCGUUGAUGUCUUUUCUUAAAGUACAUCAGCGCGGACUUCACGUCCAUUGUAUGUGAGGAAGACGCGUUGGCCAGGCUUGAGACGGACGCCAGUCAAGCCUCGGAACCCAGGACCAAUGAGCUCCGCAUCUCUAUAUUCUCUGGGAAGGGUGCUGGCGUUUUCACUGCCUGAAUCAUUCCCGAAUAGUACAGUCCAUCAUCACCGAGCGCAGCUACUCGGGUUCCAAUGAUAGAGCGCUUUGCGAGUCGUUUACCGGUCGACAUUGUUGCUAAGUUCAAAAAACUAUAAUUAUUCAAAUAACACUUCACCAAGUCUUUGAUGACAGUCCACACUGACUUUAUGAAAAUUUCACUCAAGUAUUUCAAAUUGCCCGGCGUACGCGUUUCGCAGGGUAACCGUCACAAAAUUUUGGUAAAUUGUAAGAACUUCGUCGCAAUUCCGUACGUUUUACACGAUCCGGCACCUCAAUAGGCCGAGAGUGUUGACAGCUCUCACGCGGACUCAUAAUAUGAAGGCAGGAUCCGUGUGGAUCGGGACAAAGGAAAAUCCUUCCGCGGCAGUAAACUUUGCACGCAAGCUCGUAACAGACAACCUCAAUAGACACGGUUCAAACGAGAACUGGCGUGCGUGCGAGCGACACCGGCCGGCCGGCGAGCGGGAGCGGCGACCGCCCGUCUCGCUUCUUUGUUUUGAUACUCAGCUGUUUGUGGGAGCGAGAGAGCUUAUUACAGGCCGUGCGAGUGGGCGCGAGCCGGUGUAGUUUAGUUCGGAAAUUUUCGUGUCACAAGCCGUGGCUUUUGUUCGGGCGGGCUCGCUAUUUUCAGAGAGCCGCCCACGGACGACAUUGAGACGCGCCGGCUUGGUUCGCACGUGGACUGGAGGAGUGCUAACGGGAUUGCACAACGCACCGCGACGUCGACUUAGGCCCGCGAGCCUGUAUUCGCUUGCCGGCUAAUACGUGACACAGUUUCUAUUCGGAUUUUGGGUCAAUUCAAAUGUCAAGCAGAUGCACCCCACUUAUGCAACGCUAUUAAAGCGGCCUCGUUACAUCUACGCACAAAUUGAAUAAUUAGAACACGCAACGGACAUAAUUAUCAUUCAAAGAUUUCUAUAAGACAGUAAUAUUCCUGUCAAAUAUACUACCUAAGUAUAUUGUAUUAAAAAAUACAUACUACGCCUUUUUAUUUACAGUUUUAACUUUUAAAUAUAAUUUCUGUUACAACUCUAGAUCGUUACCUAUAAGAUGGAACUCUACAUCGCUAUGAGCUAUAAGCCUAUAAGAUAUAAUCGUAGAAAAUAAAAUAAAGUAAACAGAUA